GAUGAACGCUGGCGGCGUGCCUAACACAUGCAAGUCGAGCGAUCUUCUUCGGAAGAGAGCGGCGGACGGGUGAGUAACGCGUGGGUAACCUGCCCUGUACACACGGAUAACAUACCGAAAGGUAUGCUAAUACGGGAUAACAUAAGAAAGUCGCAUGGCUUUCUUAUCAAAGUUUUUGCGGUACAGGAUGGACCCGCGUCUGAUUAGCUAGUUGGUAAGGUAACGGCUUACCAAGGCGACGAUCAGUAGCCGACCUGAGAGGGUGAUCGGCCACAUUGGAACUGAGACACGGUCCAAACUCCUACGGGAGGCAGCAGUGGGGAAUAUUGCACAAUGGGCGAAAGCCUGAUGCAGCAACGCCGCGUGAGCGAUGAAGGCCUUCGGGUCGUAAAGCUCUGUCCUCAAGGAAGAUAAUGACGGUACUUGAGGAGGAAGCCCCGGCUAACUACGUGCCAGCAGCCGCGGUAAUACGUAGGGGGCUAGCGUUAUCCGGAAUUACUGGGCGUAAAGGGUGCGUAGGCGGUCUUUCAAGUCAGAAGUGAAAGGCUACGGCUCAACCGUAGUAAGCUUUUGAAACUGUAAGACUUGAGUGCAGGAGAGGAGAGUGGAAUUCCUAGUGUAGCGGUGAAAUGCGUAGAUAUUAGGAGGAACACCAGUUGCGAAGGCG
rnacentral:rRNA from 1 species